rnacentral:other from 1 species
UGCUCCCUGCGGUGUUCGUUAAGACUAUAUAUUCUUUGACCGAUUCGCAUAGUCUGGUUGCGGCUGUACCGAGUGCUGUUGUGCGCGUCCCUACCGGAUGUGCCUGAUGUGCUCAGGCUGCGACCACCUUGAACCUUAGGUUCAAGAUGCUGGUCUUGACGGCAUUCGCGGGGGCUU